CGGGUGAGUAAUGCAUAGGUAACGUACCCCUUAGUCUGGGAUAGCCACUGGAAACGGUGAAUAAUACUGGAUACUCCUUCUUGCUUAAUGUGAGUCGGGAAAGUUUUUCGCUAAGGGAUCGGCCUAUGUUGUAUCAGGUAGUUGGUGAGGUAAUGGCUCACCAAGCCUAUGACACAUAGCGGGUCUGAGAGGAUGAUCCGCCACACUGGUACUGAGACACGGACCAG
rnacentral:rRNA from 1 species